AUUUAAAUAGCUUAUUUAGAGCAUAAUAUUGAAGAUAUUAAGGAGAUUUUAAAUCUUUAAAUA
rnacentral:tRNA from 1 species